UCAAAGAGGCGGCCAAUGUUAAUGACAGGAUCAUGCUGCCUGAAGUCUACUUUCUCAUCUGGAUAUUUUCUAUGUCCUCAGAAAUUCUGGCCUCCUGUGUGGAGCAAUCUCCUUCCAUCGUGUCGAUUGCAGAAAGAGAUUCGGCUACAUUCACGUGCACGCUGAAGGAUACUAGCUUUGGCAAUAUGUACUGGUGUAGACAGCGAGCAGGCCGGGGAAUGGAAGCUUUAUUCUUCUCCGCUGGUGAAGGCUCAUUUACGAAUUACACAUCCGAGUCCUUUCAGGCCAAAAGGUCCAGCGAGAAGCUGUUUAGUUUGGAACUGAGAGGCGCCGCUGUUUCCCACACCGGUGUCUAUUUCUGUGCGUGUAGUAGCGCACAGUGCCAGAGAACGUGUGUUUGCAGCUACAAAAACCUGCAUCCAACACCCACGGACGUUCAUGACUCACUCCCACCAGCAGAGUCAAAGGUCACCAAGUCCUCUGCAAAGAAAAGCAAAUUUCAACUGGAGCAACGUUUUAAGGCGAACAUAUGCACUGGCUAA